UUCUUUUUUUCUUUUAAAUCUUUUCUAGCUUUCCUUCUGACAAACUUUGCUGGAGUCCUACUCCUUUUCUCUCCUUCUUGAGAAAAAUGCAAAUUUUGCUCCAUGUUUUGGUAUAGCAGGGAAGCUUCCAUCUUUUUUUACUGAAGCAUAACAUCAGGGCCUACAUUCCAUCUCAAACGGCUUGUCAAGGUCCUUCCACAAAUAAGAUGUUCCUCCAAAGAUGAUGUACAGAUGCCAAGUUGGAUAUAGCUAGAGAAAUCUCAUGGCUACCCCAAUCAGGAGAGAGGUUGCUGUUUCUCAGAAGUCCUCCUCCCCACUUCCAGGGUCAUCAUUGUCUCUCAACAACUUUGUGGGGAUAUAAAAACCCUCGCGGAACUGGUUUUCUGAGAGGUGUUUGAAGCAGGAAUAUAUUAUGCAGGGGAUGGAGCAGCCAUUCCCUGGCUAGAUGACCACAUCACUGUUGCACACUGAUUGUUUGCUAAAGGCACAAUGCUUUCCUGACCAGAAAUGAAAAAUGCCUGCUGCUCAAUUAUUGUCAAUCUAACUGGAAUAGAGUCAGGCCUCGUCAGAUGGUUUCCCAAACACCCAGAUGGUCUCUUAGAUUCUGGAUGGUCAGUGUGGUAGUUCUUUCCAUUACAUCCUUGAGAUCCUGCUGUUCACACCAUUCAGCAGGGCACCCUGAACCUUGUCC
rnacentral:lncRNA from 1 species